AAGUCGUAACAAGGUUUCCGUAGGUGAACCUGCGGAAGGAUCAUUAACACAAUUUUGAUUCACAAAUCUCUUUGCUUCGUUGUUUUUUUUUCUAGAUGCAAGAAAUUGCAGCUAAGAGAAGAGCAACAAGCAAUUAACCCCCUUUCUAUGACGAAAAAUCUUUACAAAAGAAUGGAAGAAAAAGGAAUGUGUUUCGUCACAAUCCGUUUCAACCGUUUUUUUCCUUUACCCAAUUUUUUUUACCCCUUUUACAACCUGUAAUAGACUGAAAACAAAAAUCAUAUUCUAGAUCUCUAGAAUCUAAAACUAAGAAAACAACUCUUAGCAACGGAUAUCUAGGUUCUC
rnacentral:misc_RNA from 1 species